GCUGGCCUGGACCCAGGCCCAGAAAGAAGACUGUUCCUUACAGUUAAAGAAGCCUUGGCCCUGCCUCUGCCCUGAGGAGUUUACCGUGUAAUUGGGAAGAUUCGCAGUCAGCUGUUAGGGACAGAGGGAACUGUGGAGGGUCUGGGGCAGGGAAGAGCUGGCCCCUACCUGGAGCCCUGAUGGAGAGUUAUCAUGUACUGAACGCCUGCUGUGCGCCAGGAACCGUCUAACCUCUUGACACGUACUGUGAGGUGGAACUCUAGAAGCCAUUUACUCCCCUCUGGUGAAGGAAGGGGAAGCAAUGGCUACCCCACGGCUUGCUGGGCUGUGGGAAGAUGUGUGAGUCCAGGUGUGAAGCCGGAUGCUUACGUGUCAGGAAGGCAGCCAGGCUAUCCCCGGAGAUCAUCGAAGGGACAACGUGAUGCUGAGGGACCCAGUCCUAAAAUGUGCACUCAGAGGCCAAUGGAUCCCAAAGCUGCAGAUGAACGGGAUGCCAAAGAGAAGUGCCGCGGUGAGGGGACCUGGCAAUUCCGGUGCUGCCGCUCUGACUCCUUAAGAGAGGACAGUGACAGCUAUCUUCCUUCACCUCCCCUCCCCCAAGGCUUGACCAAAGGCCAUGGCCCAUCCUUCAAUGG